rnacentral:rRNA from 1 species
UAACCUGCCCAAGAGAUCGGGAUAACACCUGGAAACAGAUGCUAAUACCGGAUAACAACAGAUGAUGCCUAUCAACUGUUUAAAAGAUGGUUCUGCUAUCACUCUUGGAUGGACCUGCGGUGCAUUAGCUAGUUGGUAGGGUAACGGCCUACCAAGGCGAUGAUGCAUAGCCGAGUUGAGAGACUGAUCGGCCACAUUGGGACUGAGACACGGCCCAAACUCCUACGGGAGGUAGCAGCC